rnacentral:rRNA from 1 species
AUGAGGCUUGCGGUGUCCCUCCCUGCCAGAUCCACAUCCGUUGCUCCAGAAUGUUGCAGCCUAAGCUCGACCACAUAUCCCGGGGAGCCCGACGAGCGUUCGGCUAAGAAGAGGUUUAUCAUGGCCUCUCCGAUGGAUGUUGGCGAGGUGGCCGCCGUUCGCCCUGACCUGUCGAUCCCGGAGCAACACGUCGCUGCGGAAGCCGGUGAAGACAUUGAAUAUGUUGCCAUGCCGAUGGCUUCAUGUCAGCGGGCUAGCGUAUUACUGUAUCUCGGGAAACCUGGCUACAACAUCAAGAUCGUCCACAGCGACGGCUUCAUGCGGGCCAUGUCACAGGUUAAGUGGUCCAUCCCCAACCCCUCUGGUUCAACUGCCGUCGAUCUCUUCGAUGGCCCUGCCGUUGAUCUCUUCGACGGCCCUGCUGUUGAUCUCCUCUGCCAAGCGGUCAAGGAUUUGCGAGCUUUAUACGCCAUCGAGCCCAUUUUGUCAUUUCUGAAGGUCACGUUCUACGGCGACGGCUUGGGAUCCUCAAUUGACAAGUUAGAUCUCAUCGACCACGACCACGAGGAGGACACCCACGAAGGUUCUUCCAAGGUGAAACAGCCCAUCUGUGACAUCAGAGAGCGCACCAUGGGUCUGUGCUCUUCCAACUGGAAGGAUCCUGUCCAUGAACUGUGA